AAAGGCCCCUUUUCUUCUCACUUUCAAGUUUCAAGUCUCAACACCCAUAAUCACCCAACCACAAUCGGAGCGGCGAAACUCAGCCACCCAAAACCCUUUACACGGCGGUGAUUUCCUUCAUAAGGCGGGGCUUCCCUUGUCACGGAAAGAGUGCAAAAUCGAGUUUGAAGGUUAUGAAUAUUGGGUUCUAAUUUUCCAUCUUGAGAAUGGGUGGCUAAAUUACUUAGAAUCAUCGUUCAUUGUAGUGCACAAGAAGGCUACCCUCACUAAUCUCGAAAAUGGCGUCAAAGAGCUGUGUAUGAUAUAAGCCAUGUCGACAAGAACUGGCCAACAGAUUCAUUUGAUGUGGCCAGUGGCAACUUUUCAAGAUCAUGGGACGGCCUUGAUGUUACUUUUAAAAUUGCCGGCUUCUAAUUCACGACAAAGAGUAGAUUGACGAAGUAAGAACUCAGUGGGUACGCCAUGUUGUUUAACAACUGUAUAUUAGCUAGGAUAUUAGCUAGGUUACGUGAGAAGGAACCAAUAAAUGUAUAGCUCUAUAAUGUACAGCUUUAUAAUUAAUUUAUGUUGCGUAGUUUAAUGUUUUUGUUCUUAUUUUAGAGAAAAUUUAUGUAAUCAGUUUAUUAGGGUGACAAUUGCAAAUCAUUGAAGCUUGAAAAUUAAUAUAAAAUUAUUUACUAUACUUUUCAAUA